rnacentral:rRNA from 1 species
CAAUAGCGUAUAUUAAAGUUGUUGCGGUAAAAAAGCUCGUAGUUGGACUUCUACCGAAGAUAGCCGGUCGGGUCUUCGACCUUGUAUCUGGUUUUGUCUUUGGUAUCCUCAUAGGGAACGUUUCUGCGCUUUAUUGCGUGGUGCGGUAUCUAUGACUUUUACUUUGAGGAAAUUAGAGUGUUCACGGCAGGCAAACGCCUUGAAUAUAUUAGCAUGGAAUAAUAACAUAGGAUCUUCGUCCUAUUUUGUUGGUUUCUAGGGCUAAGAUAAUGAUUAAUAGGGAUAAUUGGGGGCAUCUGUAUCAACGCGUCAGAGGUGGAAUUCUUGGAUUGCGUUGCGACAAACUACUGCGAAAGCAUUUGCCAAGGAUGUUUUCAUUGA